rnacentral:rRNA from 1 species
AGCGUAAUAGCUCACUGGUCGAGUCGGCCUGCGCGGAAGAUGUAACGGGGCUAAACCAUGCACCGAAGCUGCGGCAGCGACACUAUGUGUUGUUGGGUAGGGGAGCGUUCUGUAAGCCUGCGAAGGUGUGCUGUGAGGCAUGCUGGAGGUAUCAGAAGUGCGAAUGCUGACAUAAGUAACGAUAAAGCGGGUGAAAAGCCCGCUCGCCGGAAGACCAAGGGUUCCUGUCCAACGUUAAUCGGGGCAGGGUGAGUCGACCCCUAAGGCGAGGCCGAAAGGCGUAGUCGAUGGGAAACAGGUUAAUAUUCCUGUACUUGGUGUUACUGCGAAGGGGGGACGGAGAAGGCUAUGUUAGCCGGGCGACGGUUGUCCCGGUUUAAGCAUGUAGGCUGAUUGUCCAGGCAAAUCCGGAUAAUCAAGGCUGAGGUGUGAUGACGAGGCACUACGGUGCUGAAGUAACAAAUGCCCUGCUUCCAGGAAAAGCCUCUAAGCAUCAGGUAACAUCAAAUCGUACCCCAAACCGACACAGGUGGUCAGGUAGAGAAUACCAAGGCGCUUGAGAGAACUCGGGUGAAGGAACUAGGCAAAAUGGUGCCGUAACUUCGGGAGAAGGCACGCUGGUGUGUAGGUGAAGUCCCUGCGGAUGGAGCUGAGACCAGUCGAAGAUACCAGCUGGCUGCAACUGUUUAUUAAAAACACAGCACUGUGCAAACACGAAAGUGGACGUAUACGGUGUGACGCC